CAGCAGCACCAGUUCACCAGCCCUUGCCGAACAUACUUCGAGCUACGUACUGUCCAAAUGGCUUUACAUUUGUCAUAUCAUUCAUUGCUCCAAACAGUCCUACAGGAAUGGAAAAGGAACUCAAGCCGGCUGGAAGCGUCAGCAUUUAGCGAUGAGGCUGAAGAGAAAAAUUAAGGAGACAAAUCACCAAAAGGAAAUAUAAAGGCUGGCUCAACUAAGGUUUCCUAGAGCAAGAGAUGAUGAGCAUUUACAUUUUCUAAAAAGACGAAUGUUUUCAACAAAAGAAUAGCCAACCUUACAAUCAGAUAAUGCCUAAUAUUUUUCCCCUUGAGGAAAACAUGGUUAAAAAAUCUUGAACUGAGUUGAAAUCAAAAGGUACACAAACCUCAUACUGUUUCCAAACAAGGAAGAAAUUAGAAUGUGGCUUAGUCACAUAAAAUUCAAAGACUGAGCGAAGCCUCUGCCAAAGGGAAAUUGACGCAGAAAAAAGUAGUGAAGGAAUCAUUUGAGAUGACAGAUAAUGUCCCUUGUAAUGUUUACAGCCAAAGAUAGAAUCCUAAGUGCUCUCCCGUGUUUUCUAUGCAACAGAGCCAACAGCAAACUGGAUGUUCUGCUAAAAGAACAUUUUAGAAUAGGUCCUUUGUUUAGUGAAGUCAGGGGUGGAGUGACAAGAAGGGAAUUGAAAUAAAAAUACGAGUGGAGCUCUGGAAUAUUAAAAACAAAACAUACUCAA